UGUUCCAUGUCGAUACCCCAGAAUGUACUGUCAUCCAGGUGGAUUGCUAGAAGAUCGCUUGUCAAUUUACCAUGGCUUCUGAUUGUGACAGUCAACAUGAAUCUGAUCCUGCCAUUCUGCCCCCAAGAUCUAACAGAAUUUUAGUAACAAAAGAACUAUAAAGGUUAAUAUAUUUAGUGAAAGUGAGCUUGUGUAGUUUUAGAGUGGAUUUUUAAGCAAUGUUGUGCUGUUUGUUGUUUGGUAGAGUAAUUUUAUUGAGUGAUGUGAUUAGUAUUGUAUAUAAUGUAAUAGUUGUACGAUAUUGUAGAAAAUUUGUAGGAUUUGCUGUUUUUUAGUGUGUUUAAUAAAACCUGUGGUGUCAA